UACGAAGGGUGCAAGCGUUACUCGGAAUUACUGGGCGUAAAGCGUGCGCAGGCGGUUUUGUAAGUCUGUCGUGAAAUCCCCGGGCUUAACCUGGGGAUGGCGAUGGAGACUGCAAGGCUAGAGUUUGGCAGAGGGGGGUAGAAUUCCACGUGUAGCAGUGAAAUGCGUAGAGAUGUGGAGGAACACCGAUGGCGAAGGCAGCCCCCUGGGUCAAAACUGACGCUCAUGCACGAAAGCGUGGGGAGCAAACAGG
rnacentral:rRNA from 1 species